rnacentral:rRNA from 1 species
GAUGAACGCUAGCGAUAGGCUUAACACAUGCAAGUCGAGGGGCAGCAUUAUUUUAGCUUGCUAAGAUAGAUGGCGACCGGCGCACGGGUGCGUAACGCGUAUGCAACCUGCCUGUAAUUAGGGAAUAACCCGGUGAAAGUCGGACUAAUACCCUAUAUUCUUCUUUCUCCGCAUGGAGGAGGACGGAAAGAUUUAUUGAUUACAGAUGGGCAUGCGUCCCAUUAGCUAGUUGGUAAGGUAACGGCUUACCAAGGCAACGAUGGGUAGGGGGACUGAGAGGUUGACCCCCCACACUGGUACUGAGACACGGACCAGACUCCUACGGGAGGCAGCAGUGAGGAAUAUUGGUCAAUGGGCGAGAGCCUGAACCAGCCAAGUCGCGUGAAGGACGACGGUUCUAUGGAUUGUAAACUUCUUUUGUAGAGGAAUAACGGCAGCUACGUGUAGCUGAGAUGCAUGUACUCUACGAAUAAGUAUCGGCUAACUCCGUGCCAGCAGCCGCGGUAAUACGGAGGAUACGAGCGUUAUCCGGAAUUAUUGGGUUUAAAGGGUGCGUAGGUGGCGUAUUAAGUCAGUGGUGAAAAGCUGCAGCUCAACUGUAGUCUUGCCGUUGAAACUGAUAUGCUAGAGAGGAGACGAGGUAUGCGGAAUGUGUGGUGUAGCGGCGAAAAUGCACAGAUAUCUCACAAAACGCCCAUCGUGAAACGGACCGCCCC